rnacentral:pre_miRNA from 1 species
AGUGGUAUAGCUGGGUCAAAUGUGAUUCCAUUCCAAGUUUUGAAAGGAAUUUCCAUACUGCUUUUCAAUUGGUUGCACCAAUUUGCAGUCCCACCAGCAAU